UACGGGGGGAGCAAGCGUUGUUCGGAUUUACUGGGCGUAAAGGGCGCGUAGGCGGUCAGCACAAGUCAGUUGUGAAAUCUCCGGGCUUAACUCGGAAGGUCAACUGAUACUGCGCGGCUAGAGUGCAGAAGGGGCAACUGGAAUUCUCGGUGUAGCAGUGAAAUGCGUAGAUAUGCGGAGGAACACCGAUGGCGAAGGCAAUCCCCUGGGCCUGCACUGACGCCCAUGCACGAAAGCGUGGGGAGCAAACAGG
rnacentral:rRNA from 1 species